rnacentral:misc_RNA from 1 species
GUCCACCGCGCACUAAACCGUAAUACCUGACCACGCAAAGACAUUUUGCGAACGCCGCGGCCUUACUUGUAAAAAGUUUUCCUUUCCCGCGCAAACGUACGCGCGAAAUUCGAAUGCCACAGACUUUUCAAAAAUAAUUAUUUGAAAAGUGAAUGCGAUGGUUAUUUUUUGGUUUUUAGUGCUGUGAUUUUAUUUACUUUGUAUUUAGUUUUGAGGAUGAUAAUGUGAAGUGGUGGAUUUUAUAUUUGUUUGGACUAAGUUGGUGUUGAAUACUUAUAGAUUUUUUGAAGUGGUUGGUGGUGAAACUUCCUAGUUUUGGAAGACUAACGUUUACCUCGGGUCGAUGACAUUGCUAUCCGACAUUGAAACCAGCUGAUUUGAAUCCGUUACGAAAUAAAAAAUUGACACGUUAAAACUAUAUUAUCUUAUUGACGCCAUAUUGAUGAUCGUUAAAAAUCGAUUAAUAAUAUUCGAUUAGUUCUAGAACGAACACGGAUUCAAAAAGCACGUGUUGUUGCCGUUUCUGAAUAAAGACUCUUUGUUUUAAGUGAAAAAUAAAUUAAAAAAAAUGAAGGACUUGGUUCAAAUUUGGAGUAGAGUGACGGGGAGGCAAUAUAAUUCAAAUGAGAGAGAGUUAAGGGAGUUGCCGAAUAACAGAUUAAAAAAAGGUGACAUUGACACUUCUGCUUUUGAAUCUAAUUUAUCGGAGUGUGAGGGUUUAAACAAUAAAUAUGAUGAUUUGGACUUCAAUGAGAGAAAAGACGCCAUUAUCAACAAACUUUUUGAACGAAGAAAGAAGGGGCAGGUGACCAGACAGCCAAAAUGUUUAUUUAUGCUGCUGAUGUUUGGUUUCUUCGCGUUGGCAGCGGGUUGCUUCAUCAUGUUUCUUCAUCCGUAUGACUUCUUCUUCAGAAUGAAAGUGGAGCUCACAGACGGCGGGGAGAUCUUCGAGAUGUGGCGCAAGCCUGAAGUGAACCUGUACUGCAGAGUCUUCUUAUUCAACGUCACCAACGCUGAGGAGUACAUGGCUGGUAUUGACGACAAGAUCAAGGUCAAGGAGGUCGGGCCGUAUGUUUACAAAGAGGGCUUGGAGCACGAGGUCCUCCGGUUCAACGACAACAACACCCUGUCGGCCAUCCCGAAACACCCGCUCACCUGGGUCCCUGAACUAUCAGAAGGAAACAAAGAGGAUGAUCAGCUCUACCUCGCCAAUAUCGCCUUGCUGAGCAUAGCCAACGUGGUAUCCUCGCAGAGCUUCUUCACCCGAAUCGGCUUAAACAACCUCAUCGGCCUGACCAACGCCAAGCCCCUGGUGAAGAUGACAGCAAGGGAGUUCAUGAUGGGCUACAAGUCUGAGCUGAUGACCCUGGGCAACACCUUCAUGCCGGGAUGGAUAUACUUCGACAAGCUCGGCCUCAUCGACCGGAUGUACGAUUUCAAUGGUGAUUACGAGACAAUCUUCACGGGAAAAGACGACGUGUCUAAUGCUGGGCUAAUCGACACGUACAAAGGGUCCACUGACUUACCCCAAUGGGAGGGCAAGCACUGUUCCAACCUGCAGUACGCUUCCGAUGGCACCAAGUUCAAAGGGGGAGUCAGCGCCAACGAAUCCAUUCUCUUCUUCAGAAAAAGUCUUUGCAGAGCUGCACCUUUGAUCCCAAUGGGUGAAGGCGUGAAGUCAGGCUUGAAAGCUUACAAGUACGGCUUCCCUGAGCACAUGUUGGAUAACGGGAAGAUCAUCAAGGAGAACCAAUGCUUCUGCAGAAAAGGUAAAUGUCUGCCGGAAGGUCUGAUCGACGUGACGGACUGUUACUAUGGGUUCCCCAUAGCUCUGUCUUACCCGCAUUACUAUAAGGGGGAUGAUGUCCUCUUCACCAGGCUAGAGGGCCUUACCCCCAACAAGGAGUUGCAUGAGACUCGAUUCUGGAUCCAGCCAGACUCAGGGCUACCCAUCGACGUGAGCUCCAAAUUCCAGAUCAACAUGGCGUUAGAAGACAUUUCCUCUAUCAAGAACACUGAGCGAUUCGCCAACAUGUACCUGCCGCUGCUUUGGUUCGAUAUUAGAAUGUACUCCCUACCACCUUCAAUGGAGUCCCGCUUCAAGUUAUACCUGAACAUCCUUCCUAUUGUGGAACAAGUUGCGAUGUACCUCCUCUUCGUCGCUGGAGCAGUCCUCAUUCUCCUUACAGUCUACCGGCUUACCUUCAAGAUCAUGUUCAAAACCUUCGACUCCAAAAAACAGAGGAACUUUGUCAUAGGUGACUUAUGGAUCGACAGAGAAAAGAAUGCUAACAAAGAUGGCGUUUACUCUCCUUGCGAGAUACCUCUAAGCGAAACCGAAGAUUCGGAUCAGCUAUAUGACAACGAAAGACCACCGCUUUUCGAUGACGAAAGACGUCCAUCUUUACUCAAAACUCACAGCGAUAAGAUCAAAGAACUGAGUCACAGAUUGAGCGACAAAGUAUACGAUUCUGUUGGUAGCAUCAAAGAUAAAGUUCGCGAAAUAACUCACGCGAAACAUAUCUUUAGUGAAAGAAGUGAUUCUCAGUCUCUAAUCAAUAGAGAUGAAUCACAAGCCAAUGAAGCUUACAAAAGCGACUCUAGCGAUACAGAAAAGGACUACAAUGGAUCUUAUUUAGCCGUCAGACAAUCAGACAGUGACGAUGAUUGCAAAUACUUAGAAAUUUUAGACGACGGAAGCGAAUUCGCGUCGACAGGAGACUACAAAUCGACAGACAGAGAAAAUCAUUUGAAGAAACUAGAUUCAAGUAAAGAUAGCGAAUUGAUCAUACAUAUCUCCGAUUGAGUGUGUGGUAUACUGUAGUGGUCAAUCCUUGCCGUAUCAGGUUGAAAGAAAUAGGUAGACGAAGACAAAGAAGAUAUAGGAGCGACUUUGUCUUUUAUAGAACAGGGAAAAGAACUCUUUAAAAAAUAUGUCAUUCUAUACAUUUUCAAAUUCUUAUCACGUAGAAACUAUCGAAGGUUUUACAAUAAUUAUUUCUUUACAUUAUUUUAUUCGGUUAUUCUUCAUUUAUCGUUCUUCACUUAUCUUAAAGCAAACCUGAUACGUGGUAAUAUGUAAAUCUAUAAUUUAACUGCAUUUAUUAGAUUAAUAAUGUUACUUGUCGCUCAGCCCAUCACUAUGGGAUUACGGGC